UUUGCAAUUCCAGUGUAUCUUUAUCCUUUGUUAGACAUUAAAGCUGUGAUGAGAGUGACAGGAUUUGAUCACAGGAAAGAUGAAAGCAGAUAGAAAACAAAAAGGGCAAAUUACAUUUUAGCCUCCUGUGGUUUUCGCAAAAACCACAUAACCCCCCUAUGAUUCAAAAAGCUAUACAUAAACUUCCUGUGGUUUGGGUUGAACUGUCAAAUAGACGGAAAGAAGCCAUCGUAACGGUUCGUGGGCAAAAUGUCCAAAUUACCCUAAUAUAAAUACAAAAAAGAAGCAGAUGAAGUCAGACUCUCCCUUGCUCUGGCUUUUGUCGUGAGAAAGAGAAGGUUAUCGGCUUUUACCUUCGGACUUUGGAGAAGGUUCGGUGACUGGUGGGUAGUGAUAAGGGUGGUGGGGAUCUUGGCUUGCGGAAUUUGGCUGCUUUGGGGAUUUCUUCUUACAGCUCCUUUCCUUAUUUUUGUAUUAUUUCGCUUUUAUUUUUUAUUCCCUCCUUUUGAGUUUUGUGAAGGGGUUUGUUAUUUAUGGGUAGCGUGAAGAAUUGUGUUGUGAAAAGAAUUUGUCAGCCACUGGGAGAUAUGGUAGGACACAGCUGGAGGACUUAGCAGCUUCUUCUUCUUCUUCUGUGUCUUCGCACCAUAACAUUCUACCGUAUCCUUCACGCCGCCGACAACCCAAGCUCGUGCCACCCCUGAAAUGAGAGUGAAUCUUGGAACCAGAAAUGGAAGGACCAAUUUGUCAGCCACUGGGGAGAUAUGGUAGGACACAGCUGGAGGACUUAGCAGCUUCUUCUUCUUCUUCUGUGUCUUCGCACCAUAACAUUCUACCGUAUCCUUCAUGCCGCCGACAACCCAAGCUCGUGACCCCUGAAAUGAGAGUGAAUCUUGGAACCAGAAAUGGAAGGACCAGUCAAUCAAACAAGAGAUGCCCUUUGACCCAUGAUGUGGACGCAGGUGGGCUACAAUCUCAAGGCUCCACCCUCCCCUGCCCCGAGCCCCUUUUGACUCCCGUUUCGCAUUUCAUCAGAUGCCUCCUGUCUCUUGCAUUUUCCAAUUCGUUGGGAGGGAUGCGUGUCUAGAUCUUUAAGAAUCAGACCAUAAUUUCAUGCGUAAAGAUUUAACCGGAGUUGGAUCCUGUUCCUCUACAUUUGAGAGUUGGUUCUGGUGGACGAUUGAGAUCGAGCCAAGUCUUGUUAAUUCGUUUGAGAGUUGGUUCCGGUGCGUUUCUUCUGCGAAAAUUGAAAGAAAAAAUUAUUUGCGCAGCGGAAUGAGCAAACAGUUUUGUUUUGUUCUUCUUGCUUGAAGUUGCAAUUUGAUUCAGGCCUUGAUAUUUCAAAACAAAUAAGUACUUACUUGUUCAGACGAAUUUGCGAUGCCUGAUGUAGAUGUUUGAAUUCCAGCAAUAAGCCUUCCACACGUCAGGCCUCUAGUUCGUCCACACAGACUCAAACCAAUAGGUAACAGAAUUUUGGAGUUUUGUUUCGGUAGUGAAGAAACAACGAUAUUGCUUUGUUCCUAUUCAAAACAAUCCUGAUUGUUUUGCACCCUAGUAGACCCCUUAACAACUCUUUGUCAAUAAGGCUUAUUUAUACUAUUGUUUUGAUUAGAUCAAUAUCUUGUAUCAUCUUGACCAAAUCAUAACAAUCAGUUUAUAUUUUUAUUCUUAUCUUGAUCAAAUAAAAAAUAGAAUACAAUUAAUAUAAUUAUUUAAUUCAUGUUUUAGUUUUGAUCACAUCAAAAUAUAAACACAAUUAAUAUAAUUAUAUUAACUAUUAUUUUCAUCUUUAUAAUAUUUGAGUCAUACUCAAAUACCACCUCCAAAUUCCGUCUAGCUUGGGUUUCAAGAUGUGCUAGCAUCCUUAUCAAAGUCUAAACCCAUUCUAAUCAAACUUCCCUAUUAGUUCAAAUCCUUUUUGUGUGUGACUAUCUAGGUCCAUUACCCAGUUGGCAAUGUAAUAAACGUUAGCCUAUUAACGUUAGUUAGAACAUUUCUAACACUUGAGAAGUUCUCCAAAUAUACCUCAAGUUAACAUAGUUCAUGAGUGAUGCCUAGCAGCAUAUCAUGACACCCAACCGGUGAUGAAAAGAUUGGAAUCCUUUUAUGUGAACCAUGACUGCAAUUGUUUUGCAUACAAAUCCUUCUAUUACUAUAUCCCUAUUGAGUUCAGUUUAGUAAUAAUGUCAAACUCUAAAACUCAAUCGUAUGACUUAAUCUAUCAAAUUACUUGACUAUAAAAUUGAUCAUCUACAUGAAUCAAUUUGUCUUGGCCAAGAACUCCUUUAGUCAAGAUUGAUAGAUUUCAUAAGAUAUCAAACCAUUCAUGAUGGAAUAAUAGAUCCCAUUUUGCAUAAACACUUGGCUCCAUGCAUAACUAAUUAGAGGUACCAUAUGCCAAUACUCAUCCGUGAUUAGAACAAGUAUUUUCUGCAUUGAUAGACUUUAACCACCCAUGAAUGAGCCAACCGUGUCAUCUCAGGUCUAAGGAUCACAUGCACCAUUGCAAUCAAUAAUGAAUCAUUGACAUUAAUAAGCUAAUGAUUCAUUAUUUAAAUUAGUCAGUGUUCAAGCCAACUUGUCACACAAGUGCCUCUCAUAUUUGUUCUAGUAUCACAUACUUAAUGGUAUGAGACUCGCCAUUCUAUUAUCAUUAAUAUCUCAUAUUAAUCAUAGAAAAUAAAUAUGAGACUAAUCUUCCGGAUUAAACUUGCCCAAUUAAUAAUCCUAUGAUUAGGAACAAUUUAAUAUUAUUUGUACCAAGUUUUUCCGUCACUCAUAUCCUCAUCACAUGAGAAUGGAACCUUAACAAAUAAUAAUGGACAACAUUCAAUCAAAUCUAAACCAAGAAUAAUUGAAUCAAGAAGUGCCAUUUUAUUUUAAUCAAGACAAUAAUUAUUAAUGCUCUAGGGCAUACUGCUAACAGUCUCCCACUUGCACUAGAGCCAUUCAAUACAAUAUUUGAGUCCCAUCUUCUCAAGAUGGUGAUCUAACUGUCGUUGUGUCAUGGCCUUAGUAAGCGGAUCAGCUACGUUAUCAGCUGAAGCUAUCUUGUGCACGUUGACAUCACCUCUUCCGAUUAUCUCUCGGAUAAUAUGGAAACGACGCUCAAUAUGUUUAGACUUCUGGUGAGACCUCGGUUCCUUAGCCUGAGCUAUUGCACCAUUAUUGUCACAGUAGAGAGGUACCGGCAAUUCAAUGGUAGGAACCACUCCUAGUUCUGUGACGAACUUUCUCAUUCAAACAGCUUCCUUUGCUGCAUUUGAUGCAGCAAUAUACUCAGCUUCCGUAGAAGAAUCAGCAGUCGUAUCUUGUUUGGAACUUUUCCAACUCACUGCUCCUCCAUUACAGAGAAAAAUGAACCCAGAGAUAGAUUUUCUAUCAUCUACAUCUGAUUGAAAAUCAGAAUCUGUAAAACCAUCUAGUCUUAAAUCACCUCCUCCAUAAGUCAAGAUCAUAUCUUUAGUCCUUCUUAAGUACUUAAAGAUUGCCUUGACUGCACCCCAGUGUUCUAAACCUGGAUUAGACUGAAACCUGCUAGUAACACUAACAGCGUAAGCUAUGUCUGGUCUUGUACACAACAUUGCAUACAUUAGACUUCCAAUUGCCGAAGCAUAUGGAAUCUUAGCCAUUCUUUCUCUAUCUUCAGAUGUCUGAGGUGACAUCUUUUUCGAUAGGUGAAUGCCAUGUCUAGCAGGUAACAGUCCUUUCUUAGAUUCAAGCAUAUUGAAUUUUUUCAAUAUCUUGUUUAUAUAAAGACUUUGGGAUAACCCUAUAGUUCUUUUCGCUCUAUCUCUAUAGAUACGAAUUCCUAGAAUAUAGGUCGCUUCUCCCAAAUCCUUCAUAGAGAAGGUGUUUGAUAACCAUAAUUUUACAGAACAAAGCAUCCCUAUGUCAUUGCCCAAUAAUAAGAUGUCGUCAACAUACAAAAUUAGGAAAGUGACUGCACUCCCACUGACCUUUUUGUAAACACACGGUUCAUCCUCAUUUCUAAUGAAACCAAACGUUUUGAUUGCAUCAUCAAAUCGGAUAUUCCAAUUCCUCGAAGCUUGCUUAAGACCAUAGAUGGAUCUCUUAAGCUUGCACACUUUAUGUUGCUCACCCUCAGAUACAAAACCUUUGGGCUGAUCCAUAUAAACGUUUUCCUCAAUGUAACCAUUAAGAAAAGCUGUCUUGACGUCCAUCUGCCAGAUUUCAUAGUCAAGGUACGCUGCUAUGGCUAAUAGAAUCCUAAUAGAUUUGAGCAUGGCUACAGGCGAGAAAGUCUCCUCAUAGUCAAUUCCUUGCCUUUGGCGAUACCCUUUCGCCACUAGCCUAGCUUUGAAGGUUUCGACCUUGCCAUCAGAACCAAUCUUUCUCUUAUAGACCCAUUUGUUCCCUAUAGGUAUUAUACCUUCGGGUGGCUCCACAAGUUCCCAGACUUGGUUUGUGUACAUCGAAUCCAUUUCAGAUUUCAUAGCUUCUAGCCAUUUUGAGGAAUCUAUAUCAGAUAUAGCUUCUUCGUAAGUAGUAGGAUCAUCUGUAUGAUCAGUGUCUCCAUGUAUGAAUAAUUCUUGCAUAUUCUCAUGGAGAUACCCGUACCUUUGAGUAGGACGAGACACUCUACUAGAUCGUCGAGGCUCUUGUGUUGUGACAUUAUUAUCAAUGGACAUUGGCUCUUUACCAGGCACAUCAUUCUUUUCCUGAUCAUUUUGUUGCUCAUGUGAAAUUUCAUUAAGCUCUAUCCUCCUUCCAGCACCACCUUCUUGAAUAAAUUCUUUUUCAAGAAAGGUAGCAUCUCUACUGAUGACAACAAUUUGUUCAUCUGGAAGAUAAAAUUGAUAUCCAAUACAAUCCUUUGGAUAUCCAACAAAAUGACCUUUGACAGAUCUUGAUUCCAACUUGUCUGUCUUUAGUUUCCUGAUAUGAGCAGGACAACCAAAAAUUUUAACAUGAUUAAGGCUUGGCUUUCUUCCAGUCCACAUCUCAUAUGGAGUGGUAGGGACGGACUUAGAUGGUACUCUAUUGAGUAUAUAACAUGCUGUAAGAAGUGCAUAAUUCCAAAAUGAAAUAGGGAUAUCAGUAUAGCUCAUCAUGGAGCGAACCAUGUCCAUAUAGGUACGGUUCCUCCUUUCAGAUACGCCAUUCAAUUGUGGCGUUCUUGGAGGAGUAAGUUGAGAAAUAAUACCUUGAUCUUUAAGGUAUUCCCUGAAACCAGUGUCUAAGUAUUCACCUCCUCGAUCUGAUCGGAGAGUUUUAAUACUCUUACCAAGCUGAUUUUCUACUUCAGCCUUGAACUCUUUGAAUUUUUCAAAGCAUUCAUGCUUGUACUUCAUUAAGUACACAUAACCAUACCGAGAGUAAUCAUCAGUAAAAGUUAUGAAGUAAAUAAAUCCACCUCUAGCCACUUUGGUAAAUGGCCCACAUACAUCACUAUGUAUGAUUUCUAGAACAUCAUUGGCUCUUAUACUUUGUCCCACAAAAGGCAACCGAGUCAUUUUGCCUUGAAUACAAGGUUCACAAGUUGGAUAAGGUUCAGAACCCAUGGGUUUGAGUAAUCCCAUUUUCUCCAUCUUUGAAAUUCUGUCUCCCGCGAUGUGACCCAGUCUAAGAUGCCAAAGAUGUUUUUGAUUGAGGUUAAAUUUAGUCACGACGUUUAAAUUCUCAAACUCAGUUCCAUCUUUAUCAUCAGACAUGUGGUAUAAACCAUUUUUCUUGUACGCCAAACCAAUACAAUCAUUAUUGUAAUAAAUCCUACAAAUAUUACCUUUGAAUAAAAAUUCAUAUCCCACAUCAGUCAAAACCGAAAUAGAAAUAAUAUUCGUAAAAGUGUUUGGCAGACAUAAAACAUUGUUUAGGAAUAAAACAUGUCCUGAAGAUAAAGCUAAAGAAGUAGAUCCUAUAGCAGUAGCAGCAACUGUUGCUCCAUUUCCGACCUUUAGGAUCACCUCGUCCUUCCCAAGGACUCUACUUUUGGUUAGUUCCUGUAAAGAUGCACAAACAUGAUAUGAUGCACCUGAGUCAAGAACCCAAGAAGUAGAAUGAGAGCUAACUGUACACAGAGGAUUGAGGAAACAUGAAAUGGUACUACCUUCAUUUGUCUUUCCUUUUCCCUUGUCCUUUAUCGACUCAAGGUACUUAGGACAAUUCCUCUUCCAAUGUCCUUCCAUUUGGCAGUGGAAACAUUUUGCACCAACCUUGAAGUUGCCCUUCUUUUUAGAGACACCUCCUGUAGGCUUAGGAUGAGAAGAUUUAAUUGAUUUCUUCUUCUUCUUUUUGGACUCUCCAGAAGAAGAAGCAAUCAUUAAAGCCGCUUCCUUUCCGUUUCCUUUCAUCGUAGACUGAGCAGUAACAAGAUGGUUAUGAAGUUCUGAAAGCGAUACCUCAAUCUUGUUCAAGUGAAAAUUUACAAUGAAUUGGGCAAAGGAAUCUGGUAGAGACUGCAAAAUCAAGUCUGUCUGAAGGUUAGCAUCCAUGGAAAAAUCCAAGUUUUCAAGACGCUCAAUCAUAUUGAUCAUCUUGAGAACAUGAACUGACACAUCAGCUCCUUCAGUCAGACGAGUUCUAAACAACUCCUUAGAUAUCUCAUAUCUGGCAGUUCUGGAUUGUUCACCAUACAAUUCUUGUAGGUGAAUCAAAAUAUCUUUUGCGGUCCCCAUCUUUUCAUGCUGCCUUUGCAAUUCAUUGUUCAUAGACGCUAGCAUGUAGCACCUAGUUUGCAUGUCAUCCUCCUCCCACUUUCUAAAAGUGGUUUGUUGCGGCUCAGUCGCCCCUUCAGGCAAGGGAUUAGGAACUGGAGUCUCUAAAAUAUACCCAAUUUUUUCGGAAUUAAGAACAAUUCUUAGAUUCCUCAGCCAAUCAGUGAAAUUGGGCCCAGUGAGUGUAUUUUUUUCAAGGAUAGUUGAGAGAGGGUUCAUGGGUGCCAUAAUAUCCAAAUAUUAGAAACUGCAGAAGAUAAUAAAAUUGCUUAGCAAUUAUCCUGAUAGAUCCAAUUUGUUUUUGGCCUUUAAAACAAACUGGUCCUCCCACUAAAUUUUCGAAUGUCAUACUUCCAAAAUGAUAGACAGAAAUCUUUAUUAAAAAGAUCUCUAGUGGGAGAUGGGAUUCUUAUAAAAUAUUUAAUAUACCUCAGGUGAUUCCUAUAUUGGUACAAUAAUAUUUUGUAAGUGACAACUCUUUGUCAAUACAUCUCAUGUAUACCCCAACCGAGACUUGGCUCCUAAUACUUAGGACCUCAGGCAUAUCCAAUCUUGGCCCAUCAUAUUAGUUAAAUUGAAUCCACUAGACAGUAGGCAAGAUAAUUUGAAUAUCAAUCACCUCAGGUGUUUCCUAUCUUGAUAAUUAAUAUAUUAUCCGACCCACAACAUCACAUGCUUUAUAAAAUCUACAAGAGUACCCCUUACAUAUUUAUACUAUCCCUAUGUGUUCAUAGCCAAUAGUACAAAUUGUAAAAUAUUCUUUAGAUCUUAAUCCAGUGGAAAGCCAUGAUACUAUAUCAAAAACAGGUGGAUUUUCUGGUCUUACUGUUGUGCUCAUUAAUAUCUUUUGAUGAACACGCAUCAUAUACAUAUAUCAAAAGCGAAUAAAUAAACUCAGAUAAUGAUGGUUAAUUAAAUGAACAAUUACAACCCAACAAAACAACUGAAUUAGUCUUCCUGAGCCCAUGAUUAUCGUUUAAUUUCAUUGCCUUUCAAAAUUAAAUUACUAACAUUUAGUUAAUCAAUUUUGAACAAAAAUUGUUUUCAAUAGUUAAGAUUCUUAACAUUUUAAGAAUACUUAAUUACUAGAAGGAAACCUUUUUGGAAUGUAACCUUAACCCAUUUAAGAUAAGUCCGAAACUGAAACAAUAUGAACCCUUUGUUUAGUACCACGGCCGAGACAGCAACUAUUGUAGCCUUUGUGGCAUCAUGCAAAGGUGCUGCACAUUGUCAUUUUGUUUCCUUUCCUUUCUUUCUCGUUUAAACAAUUUUGCAAUGAAACCAAUAUAAUCAAUUGCAAAUUCGAAGCAAGGUGGCUCUGAUACCACUGAAAGAAAAAAUUAUUUGCGCAGCGGAAUGAGCAAACAGUUUUGUUUUGUUCUUCUUGCUUGAAGUUGCAAUUUGAUUCAGGCCUUGAUAUUUCAAAACAAAUAAGUACUUACUUGUUCAGACGAAUUUGCGAUGCCUGAUGUAGAUGUUUGAAUUCCAGCAAUAAGCCUUCCACACGUCAGGCCUCUAGUUCGUCCACACAGACUCAAACCAAUAGGUAACAGAAUUUUGGAGUUUUGUUUCGGUAGUGAAGAAACAACGAUAUUGCUUUGUUC
rnacentral:lncRNA from 1 species